GAUCCUGGCUCAGGACGAACGCUGGCGGCGUGCUUAAUACAUGCAAGUUGUGCGUGAUUGGGGGCAACCCCAUGAAAGCAGCGAACGGGUGAGUAACACGUAAACAAUCUGCCUCUAAGAUUGGGAUAACCCUGCCAACGCGGGGCUAAUACCGGAUGUGAUUCAGAAGACGCAUGUUUUUUGAAUUAAAGGAGCAAUCCGCUUAGAGAUGAGUUUGCGUCCCAUUAGCUAGUUGGUGAGGUAACGGCUCACCAAGGCCGAGAUGGGUAGCCGGCCUGAGAGGGUGAACGGCCACAUUGGGACUGAGAUACGGCCCAGACUCCUACGGGAGGCAGCAGUAGGGAAUAUUGCGCAAUGGACGAAAGUCUGACGCAGCAACGCCGCGUGAGGGAUGACGGCCUUCGGGUUGUAAACCUCUGUUGAGUGGGAAAAAAAUGCCGCAAGGUACUGAUGGUACCAUUCGAGGAAGCACCGGCUAACUACGUGCCAGCAGCCGCGGUAAUACGUAGGGUGCAAGCGUUGUUCGGAAUCACUGGGCGUAAAGGGAGCGUAGGCGGGUUUAUAAGUUAGGAGUUUAAAUCAUAGGCUUAACCUGUGUGUGGCUUUUAAUACUGUAGAUCUUGAGUAUGGGAGAGGAUGAUGGAAUUCCAGGUGUAGCGGUGGAAUGCGUAGAUAUCUGGAAGAACACCAGUAGCGAAGGCGGUCAUCUGGCCCAAUACUGACGCAGAGGCUCGAAAGCUAGGGGAGCAAACAGGAUUAGAUACCCUGGUAGUCCUAGCCGUAAACGAUGGAUACUAGAUGCUGGAGGGAGUCAAUCUUUUCAGUGUCGCAGCUAACGCAUUAAGUAUCCCGCCUGGGGAGUACGCUCGCAAGAGUGAAACUCAAAGGAAUUGACGGGGGCCCGCACAAGCGGUGGAGCAUGUGCUUUAAUUCGAUGCAACGCGAAGAACCUUACCUAGACUUGACAUGGGAUUGAAAGCUUUUAGAAAUAAGAGCCUUUCCGCAAGGAACAAUCUACACAGGUGCUGCAUGGUUGUCGUCAGCUCGUGUCGUGAGAUGUUAGGUUAAGUCCUGCAACGAGCGCAACCCUCGUCCUUAGUUGCCAUCAGGUAAAGCUGGGAACUCUAAGGAGACUGCCUGGUUUAACCAGGAGGAAGGUGGGGAUGACGUCAAAUCCUCAUGGCCCUUACGUCUAGGGCUAGACACGUGCUACAAUGGCCGGUACAACGAGAUGCAAGGCUGCGAAGUCAAGCUAAUCUCUUAAAACCGGUCUAGGUUCGGAUUGAAGUCUGCAAUUCGACUUCAUGAAGCUGGAAUCGCUAGUAAUCGCGGAUCAGCAUGCCGCGGUGAAUACGUUCCCGGGCCUUGUACACACCGCCCGUCAAGCCAUGAAAGAUGGUAGUACCCGAAGUCGCUUCUCUAACCGCAGGGAAGAGUGCGCCGAAGGUAAGACUGUUGAUUGGGGCUAAGUCGUAACAAGGUA
rnacentral:rRNA from 1 species